rnacentral:pre_miRNA from 1 species
AAAAUACUCCCUCCGUCCAGAAAUACUUGUCAUCAAAAUGGAUAAAAGGAAAUGUAUCUAGACGUAUUUUAGUUUUAGAUACAUCUCUUUUUAUCCAUUUUGAUGACAAGUAUUUUUGGACGGAGGGAGUAGAAA